UACGUAGGUGGCGAGCGUUGUCCGGAUUUAUUGGGCGUACAGCGCGCGCAGGCGGUGCGCUAAGUCUGCGGUGAAAUCUCCCUGGCUCAACCGGGAGGGGGCCGUGGAGACUGGCGCACUGGAGGGACCUAGAGGCCGGUGGAAUUCCUGGUGUAGCGGUGAAAUGCGCAGAUAUCAGGAAGAACACCCGUGGCUAAGGCGGCUCUCUAGUACGGUACUGACGCUGAGACGCGAAAGCGUGGGGAGCAAACAGG
rnacentral:rRNA from 1 species